rnacentral:lncRNA from 1 species
CAAGUUGUUUAUGAUGUUAAAGGGUUUGAAUAAUUUUCUAAACUCGUAAACAAGAGGUGUGGUUGACAAGAAAUCAUUUUUUCAACAUCUAAAGUGAUCAACUGAGCAUUGAUGGUAAUAUGUCGGCAAUUUUGGAUUUGAAAUAUAGAUCAAGGGGUUUGCUUUACAUCGUUUUGGUGAAACUGAUGAUAACAUGUCUUUUGUUAAAGAAAUAUAUAUAUAUAUAUAUACUGGGUUGUUUUGAUGGAACUUUGGUUAUA